UCUUGCUCCCCAAAAGAGCGGGAAACCGCGAACUCGGAUUCGUAACUCGAAAAAAUAACUGGCAGGUUGAAUAAAAAAUAAUAAUGUGGCAGGAAAAGUGUUAAAUGGAUUCUAAUUUCAAAUGUGGACGCGCGAUUCGAUUUUGUUUUGACUGACUUUGUGUUGCGAAAAUGGAUUUGAAGUUUUGGAAGUGUCUGCUGUUUUUGUUUUGUUUUGUUGCUAUAGUUUCAUCGGCCUUUGUGGAUCACCAAUUCAAUUUACUUGGAAGCGGUAUCCAGAUUUUAAGGGAAAAAACAGCGAGCAGUCGGGAGCGGUGGCUAAAUAUGUAUCAAGGU